rnacentral:rRNA from 1 species
UACGGGGGGGGCAAGCGUUGUUCGGAAUUACUGGGCGUAAAGGGCUCGUAGGCGGCCAACUAAGUCACACGUGAAAUCCCCAGGCUCAACCUGGGAACUGCGUGUGAUACUGGAUGGCUUGAAUUCGGGAGAGGGAUGCAGAAUUCCAGGUGUAGCGGUGAAAUGCGUAGAUAUCUGGAGGAAUACCGGUGGCGAAGGCGGCAUCCUGGACCGACAUUGACGCUGAGGAGCGAAAGCUAGGGGAGCAAACGGG